rnacentral:lncRNA from 1 species
CGGCGCGGAGCGAACCGAGACGGUGUCCCAUGAUGGUUCCCCUUCUCACAGUGCAGCCCAGGCCACUGGAAGUUGACAGUGCACAUCAACAAACAAGUGUCGGAGGUAUACACUCAAUGAGGAGGGCAGUGGUGGCCAGGGUGAUGCUGGGAUGGAGGAGCACCUCACAACCACUCAUGUAUGAGUAAUAGAAAUGGGAUAGGAAGCAUUUACCAACGAACCAAAUCAGUAUGGAUGAGGAUGAAGAGACAGGGCAGGAUUCAUGUAUCCGAUACACAACUUCCA